rnacentral:snoRNA from 1 species
CUAGCACUUUCACAGGUCCUCCCCGAGGUAGUGGGGCCAGGAUUUGGUAGCUGGUGCUGAGAGAAAACCCUUGAUUACAUCCUUGCCCUGGGACUGUACCAGUGGCAACUAUCACUCAGUGGUACAGAG